rnacentral:rRNA from 1 species
AGCAGCCGCGGUAAUUCCAGCUCCAAUAGCGUAUAUUAAAGUUGUUGCAGUUAAAAAGCUCGUAGUUGAACCUCGGGGUCUACCCAUUGGUCAGGCUUAAUUGUCUGCACUGGUGAGACGGAUCUCUACCUUCUGAGGAACUUUCAUGCCAUUUAUUUGGUGUGAUGGGAAAUCAGGACUGUUACUUUGAAAAAUUAGAGUGUUUAAAGCAGACUAUCGUCUGAAUACAUUAGCAUGGAAUAAUGAAAUAGGACGGACUGAUUCUAUUUCGUUGGUUUCUAGGAUCACCGUAA